CACGUAGGGUGCAAGCGUUGUCCGGAAUUAUUGGGCGUAAAGGGCGCGUAGGCGGUAGCACAAGUCAGUUGUGAAAUCUCCGGGCUUAACUCGGAAAGGUCAACUGAUACUGUGCGACUAGAGUGCAGAAGGGGCAACUGGAAUUCUCGGUGUAGCGGUGAAAUGCGUAGAUAUCGAGAGGAACACCUGCGGCGAAGGCGGGUUGCUGGGCUGACACUGACGCUGAGGCGCGAAAGCCAGGGGAGCGAACGGG
rnacentral:rRNA from 1 species